rnacentral:rRNA from 1 species
CCUACGGGUGGCUGCAGUGGGGAAUAUUGCACAAUGGGGGAAACCCUGAUGCAGCGACGCCGCGUGAGUGAAGAAGUAUCUCGGUACGUAAAGCUCUAUCAGCAGGGAAGAAAAUGACGGUACCUGACUAAGAAGCCCCGGCUAACGACGUGCCAGCAGCCGCGGUAAUACGUAGGGGGCAAGCGUUAUCCGGAUUUACUGGGUGUAAAGGGAGCGUAGACGGCAGCACAAGUCUGGAGUGAAAUCCCGGGGCUUAACCCCGGAACUGCUUCGGAAACUGUGCGGCUGGAGUGUAGGAGGGGUAAGUGGAAUUCCUGGUGUAGCGGUGAAAUGCGUAGAUAUUAGGAGGAACACCGGUGGCGAAGGCGGCUUACUGGACUGUAACUGACGUUGAGGCUCGAAAGCGUGGGGAGCAAACAGGAUUAGAUACCCUAGUAGUC